rnacentral:rRNA from 1 species
AACGAACGCUGGCGGCAUGCCUAACACAUGCAAGUCGAACGAGACCUUCGGGUCUAGUGGCGCACGGGUGCGUAACGCGUGGUAACCUGCCCUUAGGUUCGGAAUAACUCCCCGAAAGGGGUGCUAAUACCGGAUAAUGUCUUCGGACCAAAGAUUUAUCGCCUUUGGAUGGGCCCGCGUUGGAUUAGCUAGUUGGUAGGGUAAAAGCCUACCAAGGCGACGAUCCAUAGCUGGUCUGAGAGGAUGAUCAGCCACACUGGGACUGAGACACGGCCCAGACUACUACGGGAGGCAGCAGUGGGGAAUAUAGGAAAAUGGGCGAAAGGCUGAACCAGCAAUGCCGGGUGAGUGAUGAAGGCCUUAGGGUUGUAAAGCUCUUUUACCCGGGAUGAUAAUGACAGUACCGGGAGAAUAAGCACCGGCUAACUCCGUG